rnacentral:rRNA from 1 species
UAGGGAAUCUUCGGCAAUGGACGGAAGUCUGACCGAGCAACGCCGCGUGAGUGAAGAAGGUUUUCGGAUCGUAAAGCUCUGUUGUAAGAGAAGAACGAGUGUGAGAGUGGAAAGUUCACACUGUGACGGUAUCUUACCAGAAAGGGACGGCUAACUACGUGCCAGCAGCCGCGGUAAUACGUAGGUCCCGAGCGUUGUCCGGAUUUAUUGGGCGUAAAGCGAGCGCAGGCGGUUAGAUAAGUCUGAAGUUAAAGGCUGUGGCUUAACCAUAGUAGGCUUUGGAAACUGUUUAGCUUGAGUGCAAGAGGGGAGAGUGGAAUUCCAUGUGUAGCGGUGAAAUGCGUAGAUAUAUGGAGGAACACCGGUGGCGAAAGCGGCUCUCUGGCUUGCAACUGACGCUGAGGCUCGAAAGCGUGGGGAGCAAACAGGAUUAGAUACCCUGGUAGUCCACGCUGUAAACGAUGAGUGCUAGGUGUUAGACCCUUUCCGGGGUUUAGUGCCGUAGCUAACGCAUUAAGCACUCCGCCUGGGGAGUACGACCGCAAGGUUG